UAACAUGAAGGAGGCGGGGUUUAUGACCUAUACUGCAGCCAGACACCAGGGGGCGAUAGAGACGUUUUGGCUUCAUUUUUGGGGUGCUGUUGCGUCGUCCAUGUGUUCUACAGCCAAUGGUUCACACCAAACGUGAUAGACGCGACCAAACCGCACCAGACGCUUCUAGCUUGACGUGUGCACAUUCGCACCUCAACGCGGAAAUGUGGGAGGAAGUAGUGCCAGACGGUAUGUUUGCAAGAUGGCAGCUGUCGAUCUAGAGUUUGAAGAGAUAGUCUCCCUUCUCUAUUUACUGUGGAGAGCAGAGCAGCGGUCCAUCAGGUCCUCCAGAAGCGUGAGCAGUUUGGUGAGUUUCACCACUUGCUCCAGGAGCUGCGUCUGGAUGACGGCCGCUUUCAGCGGUACCACCGUCUUUCCCUCGCCCAGUUUGAGGAGCUGCUGUCCCGCGUCGGUCCAAGCAUUGCCCGCCUAAACACCAACUACAGGCGCUCAAUCCCACCUGCAGAGCGCCUGUCCGUCUGCCUGAGCGCCUUGAGAGCGGUGUAUUUCCCUUGGGAUUCUGGAGGAGGAUCCUCAAACGGUGGGUGGACAGCAGAUCCAGCGAGGCCACCACAUGAUGUUUUUUUUUGUGUCAUCAGCUGAAACGCCACAAAGAGCACUUAGCUUCCACGAAGGAGGGUUGUGAAGCCAAAUAUCCAGCAGCUUAGCCGCCACAGCAAAAAUGAAAAGGUACAGCUCUGCUAUUACUUCCGACAUAAAUGAAGACAGAAAACUAAACAGCAGUGAGGAAGUUUUCAAGAAGUUGGGCUUGUUGGUAUAUAAUGAGGCUGCCCUACAGGCGAUGAAGCCUGACCCCGACUUGGACUCCUGUCCUCCCGGACCGCAACAGCCGCAGCAGCACCAGCAGCUCCAGGGCUCAGUGCAACCUCCCCAGCAGCAAUCCUGAUUGCAGUCAUCCGGCGCUGUAAGACCACCGUCUCCACCUUCACCUCCACCAAGACUCCCAACCCCACUACUGCCUCUGUCUUCAUUUUUGCUCCAAAUAAAAGGGGGCCACCAAUCGGAGCAAAAGGUUUUUGGGUCCAAACCAGCGGGCCUGAGAUGUGGGACAGUCGAAGUCGUUCAACCUGAGUACCCGAUCCUAAAACCCAUCUCAGAGGAAGAGCAUGUGGCUCCCAACACUGGUGAAGACAUGCUCACAGAGGAGGACAAUGAUGAGAGUGAUCUUUCUAUACUGAGUUAAGAAAGUGUUACGACUAUUACUAAAGUGAUGUGAUUAAUACAUAAAAUAAAGAAAUUUCCAGUACAGGCACUUGUGGAGGUGGAAGAGCCAGAGUGUUAUGGUAGUUGGGAUGGAGAGCAGUAAGAGGUGAACAUUUGUUUUCUUGAACUAAAAUUUCAACCAUCACUACAGAAAAUUCAGAUCAAACAACAAAUGCAUGAAGUUUAAUCUCUGAGUUUAAAUCAAUUAUUGUCAGAAGAGCCAAAUAUGUUUUGCAUAUUCAUAAACCAAUGUAAAAUUACUUGUUAAAGUUUUAUAAAUAUCUUGAAGAAAUAAUGAAUGCAUUAUAGUCAUUGUGCAAUGAAAGGUUUUUGUGUGGGUUUGAGCCACAGUGUACGAUGGGAACCACUAUAACACAUUCUAUGACAAAAACCUCAUUCAACUGAAAACAAAACAAUGAGAACAGAAAAUUGAUAAAGAAAGAAGCACUAGUGGUUAAGGACAUUUGCUUCCUGUGUGUGUUUUACAAAAAUAUAUGAAAGGAAAAACUGUUCAAAAGUUAAUGAUAUGUUAUAUUUACAGUAACAGCCUUUUUGAAGAUACAAUGAGCUUUCAACUAAUAACACUUCCUAAGCAUUUAUUUAAGCAGCUAUUAAAAAAUGUUAACAUACAAAACGUUCAUAGAAAAAAUGUAAAACCAUAAAAAAGAUGCUAUGUCUUUAAAAAAGAUUUAAGAUAACUCUGAAGAUUCUAAAUAAAGGAAAUAAUAUUUGUUUUCCUGCUUAUCCAUGU